rnacentral:rRNA from 1 species
UACGUAGGGUGCAAGCGUUAAUCGGAAUUACUGGGCGUAAAGGCGUGCGCAGGCGGCUUUGCAAGACAGAUGUGAAAUCCCCGGGCUUAACCUGGGAACUGCAUUUGUGACUGCAUGGCUGGAGUGCGGCAGAGGGGGAUGGAAUUCCGCGUGUAGCAGUGAAAUGCGUAGAUAUGCGGAGGAACACCGAUGGCGAAGGCAAUCCCCUGGGCCUGCACUGACGCUCAUGCACGAAAGCGUGGGGAGCAAACAGG